rnacentral:rRNA from 1 species
CGUAGUACGCGAGCGUUAUCCGGAUUUACUGGGCGUAAAGCGCGGGCAGUCGGUGGUCCAAGUCAGAAGUGAAAGCCCUGGGCUCAACCCAGGAAGUGCUUUUGAAACUGCAGGGCUUGAGUGUGGGAGAGGAUAGUGGAAUUCCAGGUGUAGUGGUGAAAUACGUAGAGAUCUGGAGGAACACCGGUGGCGAAGGCGGCUAUCUGGCCCAACACUGACGCUCAGACCCGAAAGCGUGGGGAUCAAACA